rnacentral:rRNA from 1 species
GACGAACGCUGGCGGCGUGCUUAACACAUGCAAGUCGAACGGAAAGGCCCCUUUGGGGGUCCUCGAGUGGCGAACGGGUGAGUAACACGUGAGUAACCUGCCCUUGACUUCGGGAUAACUUCAGGAAACUGGGGCUAAUACCGGAUAGGAAUCCUUGCUGCAUGGUGGGGGUUGGAAAGCUUCGGCGGUUUUGGAUGGACUCGCGGCUUAUCAGCUUGUUGGUGGGGUAGUGGCUUACCAAGGCUUUGACGGGUAGCCGGCCUGAGAGGGCGACCGGCCACAUUGGGACUGAGAUACGGCCCAGACUCCUACGGGAGGCAGCAGUGGGGAAUAUUGCACAAAGGGCGGAAGCCUGAUGCAGCAACGCCGCGUGCGGGAUGACGGCCUUCGGGUUGUAAACCGCUUUCAGCAGGGGCGAAGCUUGUGGUGACGGUACCUGCAGAAGAAGCACCGGCUAACUACGUG